rnacentral:rRNA from 1 species
GACGAACGCUGGCGGCGUGCUUAACACAUGCAAGUCGAGCGAUGAAGCUUCUUCGGAAGUGGAUUAGCGGCGGACGGGUGAGUAACACGUGGGUAACCAGCCUCAUAGAGGGGAAUAGCCUUCCGAAAGGAAGAUUAAUACCGCAUAAGAUUGUAGCUUCGCAUGAAGCAGCAAUUAAAGGAGCAAUCCGCUAUGAGAUGGACCCGCGUCGCAUUAGCUAGCUGGUGAGGUAACGGCUCACCAAGGCGACGAUGCGUAGCCGACCUGAGAGGGUGAUCGGCCACAUUGGGACUGAGACACGGCCCAGACUCCUACGGGAGGCAGCAGUGGGGAAUAUUGCACAAUGGGGGAAACCCUGAUGCAGCAACGCCGCGUGAGUGAUGACGGUCUUCGGAUUGUAAAGCUCUGUCUUCAGGGACGAUAAUGACGGUACCUGAGGAGGAAGCCACGGCUAACUACGUGCCAGCCGCCGCAGUAAGAC